rnacentral:tRNA from 1 species
GCCUGGGUGGCUCAGUUGGUUAAGCAUCUGACUUUGGCUCAGGUCAUGAUCUCACGGUUCGUGGGUUCCAGCCCCACAGUGGGCU